GACGAACGCUGGCGGCGUGCCUAAUACAUGCAAGUAGGACGCAGUUGCGAACGGGUGAGUAACGCGUAGGUAACUGCCUAUUAGAGGGGGAUAACUAUUGGAAACGAUAGCUAAUACCGCAUACUAGUAGAUGGACCUGCGUUGUAUUAGAUAGUAGGUAGGGUAAUUGCCUACCAAGGCGACGAUACAUAGCCGACCUGAGAGGGUGAUCGGCCACACUUGGAAUGAGACACGGCCCAGACUCCUACGGGAGGCAGCAGGAGGGAAUCUUCGGCAAUGGGGGGAACCCUGACCGAGCAACGCCGCGUGAGUGAAGAAGGUUUUCGGGUCGUAAAGCUCUGUUGUUAAGGAAGCGGUACUUGACCAGAAAGGGACGGCUAACUACGUGCCAGCAGCCGCGGUAAUUC
rnacentral:rRNA from 1 species